CGCAGAACUCAUGAACCAAAUUCUCUCCUUCUUCAUUCUGUAAUUCAUCUUUUCUUUUCUAGAUUCAUCUGUUAAUCAUCUUUCCAAAAGCAACUCCCUGCAUCAAAAUGCAAGUGCUUUAGGUGCUGCUGCCGGUGGACUUGGAUCCUUGGACUUUCUUGGAAACAAUCAACUACAUUUUAGUUUCAAGCUUUGUAUUGAAUUCUGCAAUCAAAUCCACAGAUUUUAGAGCCUAUGCUUCAGGAGCUUCGAAAGCAAAACCCACAGCUUUUAAGAUUAAUUCAAUUACACCAGGCAGAAUUCCUUCAGUUAAUAAAUGAAGCUACUGAUGGCUCCGAAGGGUGAGUAAUCUAUUGGGCAUAUGUAUAUUAGGUUUAUUUUUAUUGACGGAGAAUCUAUAAUAAAGUUCUAGAAGCACUUUAGAUAAUAAUAUAUAAU